UACGAAGGGGGCUAGCGUUGCUCGGAAUCACUGGGCGUAAAGCGCACGUAGGCGGCCUGAAAGGUCAGCUGUGAAAACUCGAGGCUCAACCUCGAGACGUCGGUUGAAACCAUCUGGCUAGAGUCCGGAAGAGGAGAGUGGAAUUCCCGGUGUAGCGGUGAAAUGCGCAGAUAUCGGGAAGAACACCCGUGGCGAAGGCGGCUCUCUGGGACGGUACUGACGCUGAGACGCGAAAGCGUGGGGAGCGAACAGG
rnacentral:rRNA from 1 species